GACGAACGCUGGCGGCGUGCUUAACACAUGCAAGUCGAACGGAAAGGCCCCUUUGGGGGUACUCGAGUGGCGAACGGGUGAGUAACACGUGAGUAACCUGCCCUUGACUUCGGGAUAACUUCAGGAAACUGGGGCUAAUACCGGAUAGGAAUCCUUGCUGCAUGGUGGGGGUUGGAAAGCUUCGGCGGUUUUGGAUGGACUCGCGGCUUAUCAGCUUGUUGGUGGGGUAGUGGCUUACCAAGGCUUUGACGGGUAGCCGGCCUGAGAGGGCGACCGGCCACAUUGAGACUGAGAUACGGCCCAGACUCCUACGGGAGGCAGCAGGGGGGAAUAUUGCACAAUGGGCGGAGGCCUGAUGCAGCAACGCCGCGUGCGGGAUGACGGCCUUCGGGUUGUAAACCGCUUUCAGCAGGGGCGAAGCUUGUGGUGACGGUACCUGCAGAAGAAGCACCGGCUAACUACGUG
rnacentral:rRNA from 1 species